GAGUUUGAUCCUGGCUCAGGACGAACGCUGGCGGCGUGCUUAACACAUGCAAGUCGAGCGGUAAGGCCCUUUCGGGGGUACACGAGCGGCGAACGGGUGAGUAACACGUGGGUAACCUGCCCUCAGCUCUGGGAUAAGCCCGGGAAACUGGGCCUAAUACCGGAUAUGACUCCGCAUCGCAUGGUGUGGGGUGGAAAGCCUUGUGCGGCUGAGGAUGGGCCCGCGGCCUAUCAGCUUGUUGGUGGGGUAGUGGCCUACCAAGGCGACGACGGGUAGCCGGCCUGAGAGGGCGACCGGCCACACUGGGACUGAGACACGGCCCAGACUCCUACGGGAGGCAGCAGUGGGGAAUAUUGCGCAAUGGGCGAAAGCCUGACGCAGCGACGCCGCGUGAGGGAUGACGGCCUUCGGGUUGUAAACCUCUUUCAGCUCCGACGAAGCCUUCGGGUGACGGUAGGGGCAGAAGAAGCACCGGCCAACUACGUGCCAGCAGCCGCGGUAAUACGUAGGGUGCAAGCGUUGUCCGGAAUUAUUGGGCGUAAAGAGCUCGUAGGCGGUUUGUCGCGUCGACUGUGAAAACUCAGGGGCUCAACUCCGAGCUUGCAGUUGAUACGGGCAGACUAGAGUUCGGCAGGGGAGACUGGAAUUCCUGGUGUAGCGGUGAAAUGCGCAGAUAUCAGGAGGAGCACCGGUGGCGAAGGCGGGUCUCUGGGCCGAUACUGACGCUGAGGAGCGAAAGCGUGGGGAGCGAACAGGAUUAGAUACCCUGGUAGUCCACGCCGUAAACGUUGGGCGCUAGGUGUGGGGUCCCUUCCACGGGUUCCGUGCCGC
rnacentral:rRNA from 1 species